rnacentral:lncRNA from 1 species
AUGGGCAGUGGUCCAGCUACCCCGGUAAAGGGGAGGCCGGGCAGCCGAGGGUCCGGCCGCUCCCCCUCCUCAGACGCUGGCUGGCUUCUCAGAAGGCCACCCGGGCCGUUUGCGGGCAGGCCUGCGAGGGCCUGCCGCCAGGACCGGAGUGUGCUCAGGGGCGUCCCGCGGCCAGUCUGGCUCCCCCCUGCUGUUCCCAGCUCUGUGAUUGGCAGUAGGGCCAAUUUGGGGCCCCGUCUGCCACCACCUACGUCUGUGUCCUUUCUGCAGAUGAGGAGGGUGUCCCCCCGAGUGGAGAGGUGCAAUAAGAAACCUCGUGUGCCAACUUCCCGGGGGCGUAGCACCGAGCCACGGCUGCCACCAGCACUGCCCCUUCUCUUCCUCCGGCUCGUGUGCCCUGGCGCCGGGGGCCAGGCCAGGGCGAGGGGCGAGCCUCCUUCAUGUGCAGAGCCCGGAACGGGUGCGCACGUGAGCACACAUGCACACGCACACACAUGCACGCACACACACGCAUAUGCGCACACACACAGGACACUGUGCAGGGCUGUGCGUCAGCGGAGGGAGCGCCGGGUGUUCUCUCCGCGGUACCUGUUCCCUUCACUCCUUGCCCCCUGGCCUGUCAGCUCUGCAGGAAAUCGACACCCACCCGCUACCCGCCCCCACCCUCCGUCUGCCUGGAGCCAGCUCCGGGUGUGGCCCGAGCAACCAAGCACUGGGAAGCCCCCCUUCACCGGCCCCUUGGCCACCCGCAGGGUGGGCUUUCUCAGAGAUGACCCUUUGGAGCUCGAAUGGGAGGGAGGCGAACUGUCCUCAAGGAACCGUCCUCAGCACCCAACGGGAAGAAACAUUUCUGCAGAGGGAUUUCCUUCACGGCCGCUGGAUGUCAGAGCUGCUUUUCUUUCUUGGCAAGCUGGUGGCCGGGCACGUUCUGUGGCCUGGCUGGAAUUCCGGGGUUCCUCCCAGACCAACUUUCCUGGCCUGGGAGGUGCACGCCAGCACCCUUUGUUCUGCCGGCCUUGUGAGCUGGCUAGAGCUCGGGGUCCUGACCUGUGCCCUACUUCCCACAAGGUCAAAUCCGUGCCCGCUCCUCUGUGGGGCUGGAGGGCGACCCUGGGGUCAGAGUCCCUCUGGGGGACUCUGAGAUGUCAGUUAACAGCACAUCUGGAGGGGUCUCCUGUCCCCUUCGGGCCUCCGACUGGGGGAGGGUUUGGGGAGGUGUGUGUGUUCGGGGUACUGGUUGCCAGGUGA